GUUGCCGACCGGGAGUAGGGUGCGCGGCUCCGGGCGUCCCUGGAUGUGCUGGGGCUCAGUCUCUGGGCGAGAGGACUCGGAAGGGGGAGAGCGACAUUCAGUAGCGCGGCGCAGGGCGAAACCUGGUGACCAUGGCGGGGCCGCAGCCUUUAGCCCUGCAGCUGGAACAGUUGUUGAACCCGCGACCGCGCGAGGCGGAUCCUGAGGCCGACCCGGAGGAGGCCACUGCUGCCAAAGUGAUCGACAGGUUUGAUGAAGGGGAAGAUGGGGAAGAUGAUUUCCUGGCAGUGGGUAGCAUUAGAAAGCUGGCAUCAGCCUCCCUCUUGGACACAGACAAGAGGUAUUCUGGCAAGACCACCUCUAGAAGAGCUUGGAAGACAGACCAUUGGGAGCAGACUCUGCCAGGUUCAUCUGAUCAAGAAAUAUCUGAUGAGGAAGGGUCUGGAGAUGGAGAUUCAGAGGGUCUGGGCCUGGAGGAAUCCGGUGAGGAUGCCAUGAGUGCUGAGGAACUGGAGUGUGCUGAUGGUGACAGUAGCCUGGCCUGGAAAAAGAGGAGCAGAAGCCACUCCAGGAAGGCGUCGGGCUUCAGUGUCCAGAGCAUCAGUGACUUUGAAAAGUUUACCGAGGGAAUGGAUGACCUCGGUAGCAGUGAGGACGAGGAAGACGAAGAGCAGGAGAGUGGUAUGGAGGAAGGGGGUGGUGAGGAAGACUUUGAAGGUGAGAGUGAGGAAGACAAAGCCGAAGACAGGACCAGUGAGGACGACGGGGUGGUGAUGACCUUCUCCGAGGUCAAAGUUUCCGAGGAAGUGGAGAAAGGCCAAGCUGUGAAGAACCAGAUAGCACUGUGGGACCAGCUCUUGGAAGGAAGGAUAAAGCUACAAAAAGCUCUGCUGACCACCAAUCAGCUUCCUCAACCAGAUGUUUUCCCUAUUUUCAAGGACAAAGGUGGCCCAGAAUUUGCCAGCGCCUUGAAAAACAGUCACAAGGCACUUAAAGCAUUGUUGAGGUCAUUGGUAGAUCUUCAGGAAGAGUUGCUUUUCCAGUAUCCAGACACUAGAUAUCUAGUAGAUGGGACAAAGCCCAAAGCAGAAAGUGAGGAGGAGAUUUCCAGUGAAGAUGAAGAGCUCAUAGAAGAGAAGCAGCAGCAGCAGCAGAGGAGGGCCCCAGCAAAGAGGAAGCUGGAGACUGAGGACUACCCCAGCUUCAUAGCGAAGCGCUUCGCCGACUUCACUGUCUACAGGAACCGUACGCUCCAGAAGUGGCAUGAUAAGACCAAGCUGGCUUCUGGAAAACUGGGGAAGGGUUUUGGUGCCUUUGAACGUUCAAUCUUGACUCAGAUUGAUCAUAUUCUGAUGGACAAAGAAAGAUUACUUCGAAGGACACAGACCAAGCGCUCUAUCUACCGAGUUCUUGGCAAACCUGAGCCGGCAGCCCAGCCUGUCCCAGAGAGUUUGCCAGGACAGCCGGAGAUCCUUCCUCAAGCCCCUGCCAGUGCCCACCUGAAGGACGUGGAUGAAGAAAUCUUUGAUGAUGAUGACUUUUACCACCAGCUCCUCCGAGAACUCAUAGAACGGAAGACGAGCUCCUUGGAUCCCAAUGAUCAGGUGGCCAUGGGAAGGCAGUGGCUUGCAAUCCAGAAGUUAAGAAGCAAAAUCCACAAGAAAGUAGAUAGGAAAGCGAGCAAAGGAAGGAAACUUCGGUUUCACGUCCUUAGCAGGCUUCUGAGCUUCAUGGCACCUAUUGACCAUACCACAAUGAAUGAUGAUGCCAGGACAGAGCUGUAUCGAUCUCUUUUUGGCCAACUCAACCCCCCUGACGAAGGCCACGGGGACUGACGGCGCCCAUCUCCCUGUGGCCCGGGGCCUGAGGUGGGACCUCCGCACACCCAGCCCCACAUAGAGGAACUCGGGAAAUCCCGGGAACGUGUGCUGUUCAGAACACGGGCCUGACGAGUGCCCGGAAACCUGGAAUCCAGCAUCUGUGUCACCGUGUGUCUCCAGUUACCUAAAAGAUCACUCAACGGAAAUAGAAGAUUUCCCCUACAGUCACUCCCUUCACCGUGAUCCCUUUUUCGAAUAUAGACCAUCCAACCCCAUCCACCUAGCCUGAGGAUCUCGGAUAAACCCACGUUAGAACAGCAAGUAAGUAACCUCUUAACACGGCACUUCCCGUGAGCAUGAUGCAGACCCACGAUUCCUAAAGAGAUGGAACCUUUGUUACAGUCACUCUCUACCUGAUGAAGAAAAAAAUUUAAGCAGGUACUUCAAAAUAUUUGGAGUCCAUCAUGUUUAAUUAAAAUGAAUUAAAAUCAGGAGAGAUGAGAAAGAACGGAUAGAAUUUUCAGUAAAGGGAGGCUUGCAUUUUAAAAUUCAGAGGACCACCCUCCUUCCAGCCAAGAGUAAAUUGGAAACUACUUUAAUUGACACGGAUACUGCAAUUCAACUGUUACUAGAAAGACAGAUUAGUUGAUUGAUUUGCAUUUUAAUAAAACGAAUACUUUACAUUUUGGUGGCUAAUGCUGAUUUUGAAAUGAGUUGAGAACUGUUAUCAAGAGUUUCAAUCCAGGGCCCUUUUUCAGUGUUGACUGAAGCAUUCCUCCCUUUUGUGCGAAGUUGGCUUAUUUUCUUUUUGUCCAGUUGACUCCUUCACGCAUGACCCUCCUAAACCACAGCCCCUGAAGACACCAUCAGAGCAGUGAGGAAACCGCAGGGCCCACCCAGCCCAGGUUUGCACCCGGGGCCGGAAGCAGGCCGUGGGCUUUGCCCUUCGGGAUAGAGAAGUUAAGGCUGGUUUCUCAUCUUAGUUAAUUUUACGUCAAAAAUUAAUUACAGAAAAGUGGAAGGAACAAAUGGAAAUAAGACUUGGCUGUAACUCCACCACUCAGAAAGAUCCCCUUCUCGUAGUUAACCUGUAUUCCUUCGUAGCCCUCUUCAGUGUAGAUGCUGUGAUACCCAGUAGACUCCUCUCUGGGGGGAGGGCCCAGGGAGCAGUGCAGGUGGAAGACUUCGUUUUUCCUUCUGGACUGUUUGAAAUGUUACCCUUUUAAAAACAGUAAAAACAAAAUGUCUGUGCAGCAUGUCCCCCUCCACAUAACACACGUAUACCACCCGUUGAGAACCAGUGGUACGUUGUAUUCUGCAUUUUAAUACUAAUAGUAGAGGGGAAGGUUGUUUCCACGUUUUUGCAGAUCUCAUUGAAGCAUUUUAACUGCUAACUAAUAAUUCCAUUGGGGGCAUGUCUCUUCAGUACUGAACCAGAUCCCCUCUUGUUGAACACUUAAAUUGUUAUAAUUAUUUGCUAUUAUGAAUAAUGUUAUAGGAAAAUAUUUGUGCAUAAAGCUUGUUUGUUGUCUUAAAAUUAUUGGUUUUUUUGGCAUAGAUUUUUGGGAGUAAAGUGAACCGAGUGAAAGAGUCCAAAUAUUUCAAAGGCUCUUGGUCCCUAUGACGGAGGCUUGUUUUAGGGCCCGUGCACUUCUCACCUGCCCUAGGCUGGACCAUCUGCAGCAAAGGGUGUUGAAAGGCAGAGAGGAGGUUGGCCCUGGAGUCUGAUCCUGUGGUUUAUUUCUUGCUCCCUAGGGAACCCUUCGAAUCAGCAUCCUCCUCUGGGAGGAUUAAAGAGCUGCUGCCUGUAAUGUGCUUUGAGAUGCUCCAGUAAAAGAUGGUGGACAAAUAGGAAGUGACACCAUCCUCUCCUUCCCCGACCCUCCUGUCUGUUUUCUGGCUGCUAGAUCGCAUAUCAUUUUCUCUCCACCCUCCCCACUGGUUCUCAUGCUCUUGCUACUUUCAGUGCCUUCAUCCUGGGGAUCUCUCCGGUGGGUUUUCCUUGCCUUGUAUGGGUUUAUGUUUCUCCCCAUACUGUCUUUGGUGCGUAGCUGUUCUUUCCAGGUCACCGACCAAGAACGCUUGUUGAGCAUCAUUUGGAAACCCUGAGAGCCAACAGAACACCAGAGAAAGCCAGCUCUGACCAGUUCAGCAACAGACACUGCAUCUCCAGUUUAGAAAA